GAUGAACGCUGGCGGCGUGCCUAAUACAUGCAAGUCGAACGAGGUGCUUUUGUAGCAAUACGAGAGUAUCCUAGUGGCGAACGGGUGAGUAACGCGUUGGUGACCUACCCCAAAGUGUGGGAUAACAGUCCGAAAGGAUUGCUAAUACCGCAUGUGGUCUUCGGAUUUAGAAACUGAUGACUAAAGGAGCAAUUCGCUUUGGGAGGGACCUGCGUCCCAUCAGCUAGUUGGUGAGGUAAUGGCUCACCAAGGCUACGACGGGUAGGGGACCUGAGAGGGUGACCCCCCCACAAUGGAACUGAAACACGGUCCAUACACCUACGGGUGGCAGCAGUAGGGAAUAUUGCACAAUGGGCGAAAGCCUGAUGCAGCAACGCCGCGUGUGCGAUGAAGGCCUUCGGGUCGUAAAGCACUUUUCUGGGAGAGUGAGCAAGGACAGUAUCUCAGGAAUAAGUCUCGGCUAACUACGUGCCAGCAGCCGCGGUAA
rnacentral:rRNA from 1 species